ACACGUAGGGGCCUGACGUUGUUCGGAAUCAUUGGGCGUAAAGGGCGCGCAGGCGGCCGUCCAAGUCCGGUGUUAAAUGGUCGGGCUCAACCCGAUCAUGCGCUGGAAACUGGGCGGCUGGAGUCCCGGAGGGGAUGCCGGAAUUCCAGGUGUAGGGGUGAAAUCUGUAGAUAUCUGGAAGAACACCGAUGGCGAAGGCAGGCAUCUGGCCGGAGACUGACGCUGAGGCGCGAAGGCGCGGGGAGCGAACACGUUUAGAUACCCUGGUAGUCCGCGCAGUAAACGAUGCGCACCAGGUGUCGGGCGGCAGCGCCCGGUACCGGAGCUAACGCGAUGAGUGCGCCGCCUGGGGAGUAUGCCCGCAAGGGUGAAACUCAAAGGAAUUGACGGGG
rnacentral:rRNA from 1 species